rnacentral:rRNA from 1 species
UACGGGGGGGGCAAGCGUUGUUCGGAAUUACUGGGCGUAAAGGGCUCGUAGGCGGCCAACUAAGUCGGAUGUGAAAUCCCCAGGCUUAACCUGGGAACUGCAUCCGAUACUGGAUGGCUUGAAUUCGGGAGAGGGAUGCAGAAUUCCAGGUGUAGCGGUGAAAUGCGUAGAUAUCUGGAGGAAUACCGGUGGCGAAGGCGGCAUCCUGGACCGACAUUGACGCUGAUGAGCGAAAGCGAGGGGAGCAAACGGG